UGUGAACUGCAGGACACAUGAACAUCGACAUUUUGAACGCAUAUCGCAGUCCAUGCUGUAAGGUACUUUAAUUUAUAAUUGAAGUGCUGCUUGGACUACAUAUGGUUGAGGGUUG
rnacentral:rRNA from 1 species